UAUACAUUUACAAAAGAUAAUCUUAAGAGGGCAAAAUAAAUAAAAACAACUUUUUAUUUAUUACUCUCUCCUUCCAAAAUUGACAUCCAUCACUUCACCCAUUACAACCCUUACAAUCAUUUUCUCUUUCUAUCAAAACUCUCUAUAUUCACCAGAACCCCAUUGUAAUCUCUCUCUUCCUUAACAAAAAAAUCUUAUUCCUUCUUAAAUGGCUUCCCAAGUCCUUCAUUGUCAAAACUUAUUGAAUAUCAAUUCUACUCUCUUGUGGAUUAUUAUGAAAGUGUACCUACUCAGGGGGACAAAGAUCACAUUCCUCAACCACUCUCUUCUAUUUUCUCCACCCAUAUCAUCUUCACACAUUCCCUCUCAUACCUCAUCCCCAAAACCCUCAUCCUAACAUUUUUCAAAAUCUAACUCCCUCAACUACUCUUGGACAUCUGAGGAAGCAACUAAUGCAUCAAUCCCUGUUGAUAACCCUAAAUCAUCUUCUGAGGAUAAAGAAGUUGAUAGUGAUAGGGCUAUUAUGGUUAAACCCAAAUAUGUUCCUUUAGUCUCUACCCAUAUUCCUAGAUAUAAAAAAGGCUUGCACACAUGCUUAUAAGUACUUGCAAGCCCAGAACAAAACCAAUUCCUAAAGGCCCAUCAUUCUUGCUUUCAAAAUUCCUAACACUAGAAAAAGGGCUGCUGAAGUGAGGGAGGUUGAAAAAAUAAAUAAAGAAAGGGUGGCUAUAGAAUAGGAGAAAAUUAGUGAUAAUGAUGAACCAAUAGAUGUGGAAUAAGAAGAAGAAACUGAGGAGAGGGGAGAAGAGAAAGCUGACAAAAAGAAUAUUUGUCAAAAAAGAGGGAAGAUCAACAAGAACUAUGAGAAGUUCUUGACACUGGGUUUCAUUAGUUACUAGUCCACUCAACUACUGUUGAGGGGUAGGAAAUUUUAUGAAUAUGUGCAUAAAUAUCCCUUUAUUAUUUAAUUGCUUGAAAAAACUUAAUUUCCAGGGGUGGGAGAACUUGUUUCUUUUGAAAAGUUUUGUGUUAUUUAGGAAGGAAGUUAUAGAAUUUUAUGAAAACUUAUAGUUUUUGGAAGGUUGGGUGAUAAGUUCCAGUGUUAGAUGGGUAGAAAUUGUUCUUGAUCUUAAUAAGUUGGGAGAAGCGUUAGGUGUACCCUCUAAACGGUUAGAAGAGUAUGUGUGAAAGAAAGAUGUUGAAUGCUUGCUGACUAAGAACUUCAUUCAAGGGAAAAAAGAAGAAGCCUAGAAAAGUGAACAAGGGGGAGAUAACUCCUAGCAAUAAGUUAUUGUUUGAGAUUGUGUAUAAAGAGAAAUUGCCUUAGGGAGGGAAAAAAAUUUGAGGCAUGCUUCAAGGAUCUAGGGGUCAUGAAUGACCUAGACAUGAGUGAUAAAGUGAACUUCCCUGCAUUAAUGAUCAAACAUAUGAGAAGGGUGACCUUUCCUAAAACUGGGCCUCAUGGACUUGCAUAUGGAUUCCUUCUCUUAAUUAUGUUUGAAAAGUUUGAUGUAACUCUAGGGAAGGGAGUUGCUGCGACUAGGUAUGACAGGUUUACACUCUCUAUUAUGCAUGAGUUAGAUUGCUUGCGUGAAAAGCCUAUAGGGAUGAAGUCUACCAUCCCUAUCACUCAAACACUAAUGGAAUUAGAAGCAGCACAAAAGAAGAUUGCUCAGUUGAAAGAAGAAAAUGCUGGUUUGAGGGAAUGUGUGGGAAAUUCUCAAGCACAGAUAGAUUAUCUAAAAUAAAAAAUGACUAACUUGCAUAACAACCAUUUGGAAGAAAUCCAGCAACUUAUGACUCACCUUCCUAAGUCCAGUCCUUUUCCCUCCUCUUUCUCUUAAGCCCACAUGACCCUGACCUUUUUUUUACUAUGGUCUCGAUAUUAAUGCAGUUAUUUUUUAUUGUUUGUAACUAAUUUUAGAUGUUUUGUUUUGCGCAGUGAUUGAAUUAAUAUUGUUCUUAUCUUACUAUAAUUUCUGCCUUAUGCCUGAUGCUAGUACUUGUGAAUUUUUGAUUUCUCAUAAUUGCUGUGUAUCCCUUAAUUGUGGCUUUGUUGCCAAUGGCUUUGAGUUAUUUAGUAUUUACUUUUGAAUUUAGCAUUGUCUCUAUCUUAUUUUUAAUGAUGUCAAAAGGAGGAAGUAGAUGUAUUUUUGUUUAUGGAGUAGGGCAGUAUGUUAUAAAUGUAGUUUUGUGUAAGGAGCAGGCCAAUAUAUAUUUUUUAAGGAUGCAAUGCAGUGUGGAUGAAAUAUAGAGAAGCGCAGUAGUGGUGAUCUUUGAGUCCAUAGACUUAUACAAAAAUGGAGUUAGGUUUGCCAUCAUCAAAAUGGGGAAAACUGAAGACUCCUUGCAUCCCAAGUUCUGAGUAUUGGCAAAUUCUAAUUUUAGUUUAAGUCUAAGUAUGGUAACUUACAUUUCCUCAAUAAUAAAGGAAAGGAAAUCAGUCGGCUACUUAUGUCCUUGACUAACAAGAAAAGGAUUUCUUAGUACAGGGUUUCAUAAUUAGGUUAGGACAACAACAUUGGAGCAUCUAUAAAAGGAGACGAGCAACAUAAUUAUUCUCACCUAUUACAACUGUCAGGAGAGCAUUAUUCUCAAGCAAUAGGAGAUCAUAGAAAGCAUCUAGUAAAGACCUAGCAUAUUUGAGUCUUUAUAGUUUUAUUUGUGUGGGUAUAGUUAACCUGUGUUAACUUGGUGUUAGUAAUAAAGUGAGUUUUGAGUUGGUAAGUUUUUGUAACAAGAAGUAGAUUGACUUCUUGUAGAAUUGAGAGUUGAAACAAUUACAGUCAACAUUUUGAGUUUAUGUGUUGGAUUUUAGGUUUUGAUUAUUGAGUUGUAAUCUUAAAAUCUUGUUUGAGCAUAGUGGAUUUGAGUUGUGGUUGUUGCUCCUUGAGAUAGGAGGUUUUCUACAUAAAUUGAUUUAGCAAUUUCUGUAUAACUCAAGAAGAAAUUUGGUAAGGACUAGGUCCCUGGUAAAAUAGUUGGAACUAGUUUUCUUCAAGAUCUUGGUUGUGGACUUAUGGUGAGGUGGUAAGUACCUAAUUCAUAGUUAUAUGUCUUGAGUUUAGCCCUAUGAUUGAGCCGCCCUUGGUAUAGAGUGUUUUACUCUCAACUGGGACGUCCUGACGUGAAUCUGGAUUAGUAGGGUCCCAGAAUGGAUAGCGAACAUCAGAUUAAAACAAAAUAAAACAAAGGAAAAGAUCGGUGUUGCAGUAGUAUACGUCUGAAUAUAACUUGUUGAUUUUUCAGGUUUACUAACUUCAUACUAGAACGACUAAAUUAGUUAUGACAAAUUUGCUUAAAAAAUUAGCAAAACUAUAGGAAAUAAAGACUUACCAGAUAGAAUGGGAUUGAAAACACUCAUGGGACUCCAAGCUGCCCAAAUUUGGUGUCCAGGAGCCAAAAUAUCAGGCUUAAGUACAUCAGUCGGAUUUCUACUUUGAUCUAUGUAAUUAGGACCCCUUGAAGAAAAUCUACUAACAAUAGGAGCUCUACCCUUGUAAGAAGCAUUUCUUCCUUCACUAAUUGCUGCUCUACCACCAUAUCUUACCACUAAUCCGUUCUUGUCCCUUAUGGUUUCUCUUUCAUAGUACUGCAAUAUAUUCUGCAAAUAGAAAGUCCGAUCCAUGAAAGUUUAAUUAAAAAUGCAGUUUGAUAUCAGAGCUUGCUUGGUUGAUGUUACGGUGUUGAAAUCAACAUAUUUGAGAAGUAUACUUAUAAAAUAGUAGUUUGGGGGAGUCGGAGUUUGUUUUGGCUAAAUCAUGCUCUUCUUUGUUGGCUAAAUCUACUUGUGUUGGUACAGACCUGUGUAUCAGUAGUUGUUGGUAUUAUUAUUGCAGGAGUAGCGAAAGGAAUAGGCUCGGCUAUGAAAUCUCCGUAAGUUGGAUUUGCAACAAAGACAAAUGCUCUGAAUUGAAGAAAAGUGGCUGUAUGGAUGAUGGCUGUAAGAGUUGACGUUCCAUUAUAGAAACCAGCUGAAAAUGUGCAAAUCACUAUAUUGCCUUGCACAACAAGAGGGUCAAAUGCCUCUGCGUAUUGGCAUUCCUCGGAAUUAUUGGCUAUUUUUGUCAAUGAGCAAAAGGUACUAACCUGAUAAUCCUACACCCGCAAUUUUGAGACCGUUACCAAGGAUAAGAGUGGCAGGAUAAGUUCUAUCAGUGUCACAAGAAGCAACACCCACUGCCCAUGGACUAUAAGAGAUGACACUAUAAGGAGAAGGACCCUCAUUCCCAGCUGCUUGAACAACAAGUGUACCAGCCUUGUGCGCAGCUAACAUAAAAAUCUCAAAUAGGCUCAACAAAGUGAUUGUGUCUUCCGGUGGUUCUUCUGGUCCGAUUGACAGAGUCAAGAUAUCUACUCCAUCUAACACUGCCUAUAAAUAAUUUCCAUCGGUCAAUUUCUUAAAACUUAAUUUUGGAAUUUUGAAGGUAUGAUCGGGGGUAUGUGUAUAUAUAUAUAUAUCUAUAUGCUAGAGCACAUUCAUUAUUUUUUAUGAAUAACUAUAGUGUCCGAUCAACUUGUACACAUUUCAGUUAUACUCCCACCAUAUUAUACUUGGAAAUUUAUUUGAAAGAGUAGCUAAAAUUUAUCUCUAGCUAGAUAGAAAGUCAUAAAAGGUUACAAAGUGUAAGUGAUACUUACUUGAUCAAUUGCUGCUAAUACAUCUGAAAGAGUUCCUAUGCUUGGAUAAAUAGCUUUAUAAACAGCAAUCCUGUUUGUGGUAAGGAAUUCAACAAUAAUACUUCAGAAACCAUCUAUAUAUAGUCCUUUUUCAUUGUGCCUGUGUGUGUGUGACAUUACCUUGCCUGCGGUGCCAUUCCAGUUGCUCGUCCAUAAUACAAGCCCUUCACCACUACUGGAACUCCAAAAUUUCCAGCUGCAGUAGAAGCUACAUGACUGUAAAGGGAAAAAAGGUACAUGAUAACAGAAACUUGAAUAUAGAAUGUUACUCUCGUAUGUCUUAAACUAAAAUUUCCAUUCCUUUCUAUUACCUGUUUUCCCAAGGUGGUCUGUUCUCUUUAAGUAUUUUGUUAGGUUCAUGUCUGUAUAGUAACCCACAUGAGGAUACUCUUACUGGAAAGUUUCAAACUUUAUACGGUACAUUUUAAAGCUUACAUCCAUUUUAAAAUAUUUUUUUAAUACCAUGGAAAAUUGAUUUCUUAAGUUCUACGUUGAUAUAUGUAUUGUAUUGUAGAAUGCAUUGGAAGUGUUGCAAUGGUAGAGUAGUCAAAAGUUAUAAAAAUGGAAGAAGAAAGGCCAGGUUUAGCUUGAGGACACUCUCCCUUGUGAGGGAUCAUUAGCAGAGCAACCCUCAUCCUUUACAAUGUGCUGCUCUAGCACAUCACCAAAUCUUCGUGAGGGAGCAGCCUAGUAGAACUCCUAGUGCUCCUGAUGAGAUCGACAUGUGCAGACAAGGAUUUUUUUUAUAGGCAUGAUGACCUUGCAUCAAGAGGAUCAUUGUAAUAACUGCCUGAUAUAACUAGCAGGCUUCAAGGAUAGAAUGGGAUUUUUAAAUUUAGAUACAAGCUGAUAGCCUCUAGGCUGGCCCACUUACAUUAAGAUUGAUGGGCUUCAAUGUGAAUCAAGAAGAUGUUUAUGAUGGAAGAAGAGCCCAAGAACGAGUUCAAGAAUUAUGGAGAGGAAUGGGCAAAGUGCUAUACAUAUUUCAUGAUUUAAGUCCAAGCCCAAAAGGAAGAAGAUUGGGCCCAUAUGGGUUGUGAGUAAAUUUGGAAGCCUUCUCUUAUUUCGUAGGGGAGAAUUUUUGGUAUUAUUUUUAUAUACUUUCCUAGUCCUAGUAGGAUUUUAUUUAUUAUUUCCAUAAUAGUAGAUCCUAAUUCCAUGCUAUUUGGGAUAGCUUUUUCCUAGUCCUAGUUAGAUUUGAUAAAGGUAGAUCCCAAUCUCAUGCUAUUUGGAAUAGAUUUUUUUCCCUAUAUAUAGGGAUGAAUUUUGUUAUUUUCAAGCAGACAAUAUUAUUAUUAAUUGAAAGUUUCUCUUAUUUACACCUUUGUGUAUGACUACUUGGGAUUUAUCUUGCAACCCUAUAAGAACGAUUCUUUAGGAGGUAAGAUUAAUUCUUAAUUUGAUAUUUUUGGUUUCUAUUAAAGUUAAUUAAAGAAGAUGAUUAGUCUUAUACUAAUUGUUGUCUUUAGUUUUUUGAAAUAGGGGUCUAGAUCACUUUUGAUAUAAGUUCUUGAAUCAAUUCUAUUAGUAUAAUAAUUAGUCUUAAUCUGCUAAUUUUGAAUACUAAGAUCAAUUAGGGUUUUUAGCACUUAACCUCGAAAUUGGGGAUUUUAUUCUCCAAUUUUGCCUAUCUUUAAUUUCUUGACUGUAAUCUUAGUAGUUUUGCUUCCAUAUUAUUUUCUUGUUUAUUAACGUAACCCGAUUCUUAUCAAGUGGUAUCAGAGCGGUUUUAUCAAGGUUCUGUUCUUGAUAAUUCUUGGGAGUUUCAUAGCAAAAAAAAUCCUUACUCUUUUUUUUUUCUUUUAGUAGAUUUUUUUUUAAAAAGUUACGUAGUAGCCAAUUUUUUUUUUAAAUUGCAUACAAAUUUAGAUUUUUUUUUUUUUAAAAUUGAUCUUUCUUCUUGUCUCACCAAAUCCAAUUCGUCUAGAAGUUCGUAAUUUUUUUUUCUCUGUUUCUUACUUCUAAAGGAAUUUCUACUAGUAGGGUUAAUAUAUAAAUUCUAAAGGAAUCAGCUAAAGGUUGUAAUUUGAGUGAAAAAAGGGCAAGAGUGUGAGAUCAAUAAGCGGAAAAAGGGCCAAAAAUAGUGAAAUUUUUAUUUCCUUUGAUAUUAUUUUUGAGAUGUCUCAAAUAGGAAAGGAUACUGAUGUUGAAACUCAAACCAAUGACAUAGCCAAGGAACUUAAAAGGUCUCCACUCGACUUGAUGUAUUAGAGGUUAUCUAAUAUCCACCUAACCAGGUGAAUAUAAUUGAUUUGACGAGCAGUAUUUUUCAUAUAAGGUGUGGAAUAAAGGAUAUUAUUUGCUCUAUGAUUAUUGAUUUUAAAAGUGGUGCUAAUGUGAUAAGUUCAUACGUGGUGGAGAAAUUGAAACUUACAUGCAUCAAACACAAUAAUUUUGGUGAACUUAAGGCGACUAAGCAAUGCAUGAUUUCUUUCUCUAUUAGAAGGUACUCUGAUAAUGUUCUUUGUGAUGUAAUUCCAAUGCAAGAUUGUCAUAUCAAGCUUGGGCGUCCAUGAAAAUUUGAUAGGAAUGCAAUUUAUGAUAGGGGGAAGAAUAAAGUUUCUCUUGAGCUAAACAAAAGAAAAUAUAAACUUGUACCUUUAACCCCAUCCCAAGUUUAUAAAGAUCAGAAAUGUGUGAAAGAAACAAUGAAAAAUUUUGAGAGAAAAGAAUGAUAGGAGUAAGGGAGUGCAUGAUGAUAUUCCAAGAGAGAGAAGAAAAAAAAUUGUGUUAUGUGAAGAGAAUGGGAUGUCAAGUAAGGUCAAGAGAAAAGAAAAGAGAGAUGAUCAUGAGAGUAUUAAAGAGAGGGAAAAUAAUUAGGUCAAGAAAGAAAAACAAGGGGGUUUGAGUGAGGUUAUUUUUUCUUCUAACUCUAACCUUUCUACUUCUUUUAGUUGCUUUGACUCUCUUAUAGGUACUCACGGAAAAGUUUGUAUUGAAAAGCCUUCAUUGGAUGAACUUAAUACUUCAUUGGAUGAACUUAAUACUAAGGUGGUUGAUACUUCAUUGGAUGAACUUAAUACUAAGGUGGUUGAAACUACAUGUCCCAUUGAGCAAGUGUUUGUUCAUAAGAAGGAUAUAAGUAAGGAGAAUUAUUUUGGACUUGUCCAAGAUGAGACUUAUGAAAAAAGUCCAACAAAGCAGAUGUAGAUCUAACGCCAAUGAGCAAGGAAAAAUGAGGUGAUAUUAUUCCUUUGCUACAUAAGACCAAAUUAAGGCAAAACUCCUCAAAUCUUGGUAAUUGUAAGGUUAAAAAAAUGUUUGCUACUAGUGAUGAGGAAAUCUAUGACUAUUAUAAUACAAUUGAUCAAAUGCCCAUUGUUGAACCUAUUCAUGAUUCCUUGUUGGUGAAUUUGAGCAGCUACUUAGAAUUUAAUGGAGAUUGUAUUUUGAGAUUGAAAGAUUCUUCUAACCUUCUUGAAAUCUCCUAAGCUUAUGUGAAUAAAUAUUAUGUGAAAAAAUCUUUGAGAAGUGUAAUUAAUGAUGCUCGGCUAUAUCAUAAAAGUAUUAAAUUUGAUACAUAUUUUAUGGAGCUUAUGACGUCUUUGACAAGUCCAGUGGAGUACUUUAUUGAUAGAGCUAAAUUGGAGAGACAUAUAUCAUUCCCUACGUCAUCUAAACAAGAAUAUUGUUGUGCUCAUACAAGGAAGAGAAUUUUCUAUUGGGAUGAUGAUGUCCGCAUGCUUUAUAAAGGUAUAUUUAUCCAUGAAAGAAUUGAUUGGGUUAAGUGGACGCAUGGUCACUAUCUUGUUUUGUUCCUACCAUUGUUGUUUUCAAGUAAUGGAUGUUGUUUAAUAUUGUAUGUCAUCUUGAUUAUACGAGAUUCAAAUUCAAGGAUGAAUUAUUUUCAAGAAGAGGGGAAUGAUAGCAUCCGGCUGGCCCGCUUGCAUUAAGAUUGAUGGGCUUCAAUGUGAAUCAGGAAGAUGUUUAUGAUGGAAGAAGAGCCCAAGAACGAGUCCAAGAAUUAUGAAGAGGAAUGGGCAAAGUGCUACACAUAUUUCAUGAUUCAAGUCCAAGCCCAAAAGGAAGAAGAGUGGAUCCAUAUGGGUUGUGAGUAAAUUUGGAAGCUUUCCCUUAUUUCGUAGGGGAGAAUUUUUAGUAUUAUUUUUAUAUGCUUUCCUAGUCCUAGUAGGAUUUUAUUUAUUAUUUUCAUAAUAGUAGAUCCUAAUCUCAUGCUAUUUGGGAUAGCUUUUUCCUAGUCCUAGUUAGAUUUGAUAAAGGUAGAUCCCAAUUCUAUGUUAUUUGGGAUAGUUUUUUUUUCCCUAUAUAUAGGGAUGGAUUUUGUUAUUUUCAAGCAGACAAUAUUAUUAUUAAUUGAAAGUUUCUCUUAUUUA